GCUGUGUACAAGUUCAGGUUUGAAACAAACCAGAAAAGUUUUACUGGUUUACCUGGAGUCACUCUGACUGUCACAGAUGUUCAGGUCAGAGUGUCCAGAUGGGUCCAGUUGGAUUGUGUCACCAGUUGUAAUCCUAUUGUUUCAUCUUAUGUCUGGUACAAAAGUGGACAACAAGUGAAUGGAGCCAGCUCUUCUUCUUAUGAAGUGCAAUAUGACACUGAAAACAGCUACUCAUGUGCUUUAAAAGGAUUUGAGGAUUUUCACUCUCCGUUAGUUUGUGCCAAGGAUUCAUGGUGCAACAAAGUGGAUUACAGCAACAGAAGAAUCUGUGCAUUCAAAGGCUCAUCAGUGGAGAUUUCUUGUAUUUACCACAAUUUUGAUCGUCAAAUCCAAUCAAAAUCCUGGUUCCGUUCUGGUCGUGGAUCUGAGGACCUCAGAGAAGACUCCCAGUAUGCAGGUCGUGUUGAGGUGAUUGAAACAGAGAGAGGACGCUCCACUCUGAGAAUCAGAGACCUGACAGAGAGUGAUUCAGCCGAGUAUCACUUCAAAUUCAAAACACAAAGAUUUGAAUGGGGGAGUAGUUUACCUGGAACAACUCUGACUGUCACAGUUCCACAGGUGAAAGUGAGCAGAAUAAUAUCCGUCCAUGAGUCUCAGACUGAGGCAGAGCUGAAGUGUGAAAGCAGCUGCAGUCCAG